rnacentral:lncRNA from 1 species
UAUUUUGUGAGAACUUUAUUUAAAAUUUUGAUCCCAUUGAACUAAGGAGUUGAAUCCGCCCGUGUGGCGCUGAACCACGUUGCAUCAUCACGAAGAGAUCCAGUUAGCAUGAAGUGAACUUCAUAGUAAGUUCACUUCAUGCUCAACACACAAGCGAGAGGUUGAUCUCUCCGCUUGCAUGUCAACAUUAUAUUGGUUAUGAAAUAAACUUAUCAUGAAGUUCACUUCAUACUAACCAC